AUUGAACGCUGGCGGCAUGCCUUACACAUGCAAGGUCGAACGGUAACAGGUCUUCGGAUGCUGACGAGUGGCGAACGGGUGAGUAAUACAUCGGAACGUGCCCGAUCGUGGGGGAUAACGGAGCGAAAGCUUUGCUAAUACCGCAUACGAUCUACGGAUGAAAGCAGGGGACCGCAAGGCCUUGCGCGGACGGAGCGGCCGAUGGCAGAUUAGGUAGUUGGUGGGAUAAAAGCUUACCAAGCCGACGAUCUGUAGCUGGUCUGAGAGGACGACCAGCCACACUGGGACUGAGACACGGCCCAGACUCCUACGGGAGGCAGCAGUGGGGAAUUUUGGACAAUGGGCGCAAGCCUGAUCCAGCCAUGCCGCGUGCAGGAUGAAGGCCUUCGGGUUGUAAACUGCUUUUGUACGGAACGAAAAGACUCUUUCUAAUAAAGAGGGUCCAUGACGGUACCGUAAGAAUAAGCACCGGCUAACUACGUG
rnacentral:rRNA from 1 species